AUUGAACGCUGGCGGCAGGCCUAACACAUGCAAGUCGAGCGGAUGAAGGGAGCUUGCUCCUGGAUUCAGCGGCGGACGGGUGAGUAAUGCCUAGGAAUCUGCCUGGUAGUGGGGGAUAACGUCCGGAAACGGGCGCUAAUACCGCAUACGUCCUGAGGGAGAAAGUGGGGGAUCUUCGGACCUCACGCUAUCAGAUGAGCCUAGGUCGGAUUAGCUAGUUGGUGGGGUAAAGGCCUACCAAGGCGACGAUCCGUAACUGGUCUGAGAGGAUGAUCAGUCACACUGGAACUGAGACACGGUCCAGACUCCUACGGGAGGCAGCAGUGGGGAAUAUUGGACAAUGGGCGAAAGCCUGAUCCAGCCAUGCCGCGUGUGUGAAGAAGGUCUUCGGAUUGUAAAGCACUUUAAGUGGGGAGGAAGGGCAGUAAGUUAAUACCUUGCUGUUUUGACGUUACCAACAGAAUAAGCACCGGCUAACUUCGU
rnacentral:rRNA from 1 species